rnacentral:rRNA from 1 species
GGUUAAGCGACUAAGCGUACACGGUGGAUGCCCUGGCAGUCAGAGGCGAUGAAGGACGUGCUAAUCUGCGAAAAGCGUCGGUAAGGUGAUAUGAACCGUUACAGCCGGCGAUGUCCGAAUGGGGAAACCCAGUGCAAUUCGUUGCACUAUCGUUAACUGAAUACAUAGGUUAACGAGGCGAACCGGGGGAACUGAAACAUCUAAGUACCCCGAGGAAAAGAAAUCAACCGAGAUUCCCCCAGUAGCGGCGAGCGAACGGGGAGCAGCCCGGAGUCUGAAUCAGCUUGUGUGUUAGUGGAAGCGUCUGGAAAGUCGCAGGGUACAGGGUGAUACUCCCGUACACUAAAACGCACAGGCUGUGAACUCGAAGAGUAGGGCGGGACACGUGGUAUCCUGUCUGAAUAUGGGGGGACCAUCCUCCAAGGCUAAAUACUCCUGACUGACCGAUAGUGAACCAGUACCGUGAGGGAAAGGCGAAAAGAACCCCGGCGAGGGGAGUGAAAAAGAACCUGAAACCGUGUACGUACAAGCAGUAGGAGCCCACUAGUUGGGUGACUGCGUACCUUUUGUAUAAUGGGUCAGCGACUUAUAUUCUGUAGCAAGGUUAACCGAAUAGGGGAGCCGCAGGGAAACCGAGUCUUAACUGGGCGUUAAGUUGCAGGGUAUAGACCCGAAACCCGGUGAUCUAGCCAUGGGCAGGUUGAAGGUUGGGUAACACUAACUGGAGGACCGAACCGACUAAUGUUGAAAAAUUAGCGGAUGACUUGUGGCUGGGGGUGAAAGGCCAAUCAAACCGGGAGAUAGCUGGUUCUCCCCGAAAGCUAUUUAGGUAGCGCCUCGUGAACUCAUCUUCGGGGGUAGAGCACUGUUUCGGCUAGGGGGUCAUCCCGACUUACCAACCCGAUGCAAACUACGAAUACCGAAGAAUGUUAUCACGGGAGACACACGGCGGGUGCUAACGUCCGUCGUGAAGAGGGAAACAACCCAGACCGCCAGCUAAGGUCCCAAAGUCAUGGUUAAGUGGGAAACGAUGUGGGAAGGCCCAGACAGCCAGGAUGUUGGCUUAGAAGCAGCCAUCAUUUAAAGAAAGCGUAAUAGCUCACUGGUCGAGUCGGCCUGCGCGGAAGAUGUAACGGGGCUAAACCAUGCACCGAAGCUGCGGCAGCGACACUAUGUGUUGUUGGGUAGGGGAGCGUUCUGUAAGCCGUUGAAGGUGGCCUGUGAGGGUUGCUGGAGGUAUCAGAAGUGCGAAUGCUGACAUAAGUAACGAUAAUGCGGGUGAAAAACCCGCACGCCGGAAGACCAAGGGUUCCUGUCCAACGUUAAUCGGGGCAGGGUGAGUCGACCCCUAAGGCGAGGCCGAAAGGCGUAGUCGAUGGGAAACAGGUUAAUAUUCCUGUACUUGGUGUUACUGCGAAGGGGGGACGGAGAAGGCUAUGUUGGCCGGGCGACGGUUGUCCCGGUUUAAGCAUGUAGGCGGAUGUUCCAGGUAAAUCCGGAACGUUACUAACGCUGAGGUGUGAUGACGAGGCACUACGGUGCUGAAGUGACAAAUGCCCUGCUUCCAGGAAAAGCCUCUAAGCAUCAGGUAACAUCAAAUCGUACCCCAAACCGACACAGGUGGUCAGGUAGAGAAUACCAAGGCGCUUGAGAGAACUCGGGUGAAGGAACUAGGCAAAAUGGUGCCGUAACUUCGGGAGAAGGCACGCUGAUGGUAGGUGAAGUGACUUGCUCACGGAGCUGAAAUCAGUCGAAGAUACCAGCUGGCUGCAACUGUUUAUUAAAAACACAGCACUGUGCAAACACGAAAGUGGACGUAUACGGUGUGACGCCUGCCCGGUGCCGGAAGGUUAAUUGAUGGGGUUAUCCUCACGGAGAAGCUCUUGAUCGAAGCCCCGGUAAACGGCGGCCGUAACUAUAACGGUCCUAAGGUAGCGAAAUUCCUUGUCGGGUAAGUUCCGACCUGCACGAAUGGCGUAAUGAUGGCCAGGCUGUCUCCACCCGAGACUCAGUGAAAUUGAACUCGCUGUGAAGAUGCAGUGUACCCGCGGCAAGACGGAAAGACCCCGUGAACCUUUACUAUAGCUUGACACUGAACACUGGUCCUUGAUGUGUAGGAUAGGUGGGAGGCUUUGAAGUGUGGACGCCAGUCUGCAUGGAGCCAUCCUUGAAAUACCACCCUUUAAUGGCUGGUGUUCUAACGUGGGCCCGUGAUCCGGGUUGCGGACAGUGUCUGGUGGGUAGUUUGACUGGGGCGGUCUCCUCCUAAAGAGUAACGGAGGAGCACGAAGGUCAGCUAAUCCUGGUCGGACAUCAGGAGGUUAGUGCAAUGGCAUAAGCUGGCUUGACUGCGAGCGUGACGGCGCGAGCAGGUGCGAAAGCAGGUCAUAGUGAUCCGGUGGUUCUGAAUGGAAGGGCCAUCGCUCAACGGAUAAAAGGUACUCCGGGGAUAACAGGCUGAUACCGCCCAAGAGUUCAUAUCGACGGCGGUGUUUGGCACCUCGAUGUCGGCUCAUCACAUCCUGGGGCUGAAGUAGGUCCCAAGGGUAUGGCUGUUCGCCAUUUAAAGUGGUACGCGAGCUGGGUUUAGAACGUCGUGAGACAGUUCGGUCCCUAUCUGCCGUGGGCGCUGGAGAAUUGAGGGGGGCUGCUCCUAGUACGAGAGGACCGGAGUGGACGCAUCACUGGUGUUCGGGUUGUCAUGCCAAUGGCAUUGCCCGGUAGCUAAAUGCGGAAGAGAUAAGUGCUGAAAGCAUCUAAGCACGAAACUUGCCCCGAGAUGAGUUCUCCCUGACUCCUUGAGAGUCCUGAAGGAACGUUGAAGACGACGACGUUGAUAGGCCGGGUGUGUAAGCGCAGCGAUGCGUUGAGCUAACCGGUACUAAUGAACCGUGAGGCUUAACCUU